rnacentral:rRNA from 1 species
CGCGUAGGCGGCUGGAUAAGUCAGAUGUGAAAGUCCACGGCUCAACUGUGGAAGUGCAUUUGAAACUGUCCGGCUUGAGUAUCGGAGGGGAGUGUGGAAUUCCCGGUGUAGAGGUGAAAUUCGUAGAGAUCGGGAGGAACACCGGUGGCGAAGGCGACACUCUGGACGAAUACUGACGCUGAGGCGCGAAAGCGUGGGGAGCAAACA